GGAAGGGGUGUAUUUAUUAGAUUAAAAACCAAUGCCCUCCGGGGCUCACUGGUGAUUCAUAACAACUUCUCGAAUCGCACGGCCUUGCGCCGGCGAUGGUUCAUUCAAAUUUCUGCCCUAUCAACUUUCGACGGCUGGGUCUUGGCCAGCCAUGGUGACAACGGGUAACGGGGAGUUAGGGCUCGACUCCGGAGAAGGAGCCUGAGAAACGGCUACUACAUCCAAGGAAGGCAGCAGGCGCGCAAAUUACCCAAUCCCGACACGGGGAGGUAGUGACAAUAAAUACUGAUACAGGGCUCUUUUGGGUCUUGUAAUUGGAAUGAGUACAAUUUAAAUCCCUUAACGAGGAACAAUUGGAGGGCAAGUCUGGUGCCAGCAGCCGCGGUAAUUCCAGCUCCAAUAGCGUAUAUUAAAGUUGUUGAGGUUAAAAAGCUCGUAGUUGAACCUUGGGCCUAGCCUUCCGGUCCCCCUCACCGGUGCACUGGCUCGGCUGGGCCUUUCCUUCUGGAGAACCGCAUGCCCUUCACUGGGUGUGCCGGGGAACCAGGACUUUUAC
rnacentral:rRNA from 1 species